GGAAGUAAAAGUCGUUAACAAGGUCUCCGUAGGUGAACCUGCGGAGGGAUCAUUACAGAGUUCGUGCCCUCGCGGGUAGAUCUCCCACCCUGUGUUAUUGCUACCUUUGUUGCUUUGGCGGGCCGCCCUCGGCUACCGGCCCCGGCUGGUACGCGCCCGCCAGAGGACCCCAAACCCUGAACGUCAGUGUCGUCUGAGUACUAUACAAUAGUUAAAACUUUCAACAACGGAUCUCUUGGUUCUG
rnacentral:misc_RNA from 1 species